rnacentral:rRNA from 1 species
CGGGGAAUAUUGCGCAAUGGGCUAAAAGGCCUGACGCAGCGACACCGCGUGGAGGAAGAAGGCUUUCGGGUCGUAAACUUCUUUUCUCAGGGAAGAGUGAGGACGGUACCUGAGGAAUAAGCAUCGGCUAACUACGUGCCAGCAGCCGCGGUAAUACGUAGGAUGCGAGCGUUGUCCGGAUUUACUGGGCGUAAAGGGCUAGUAGGCGGCCAGUUAAGUCUCAUGUGAAAUCUCCCGGCUCAACUGGGAGCGGUCAUGGGAAACUGAUUGGCUUGAGGGCAGCAGAGGAAAGCGGAAUUCCCGGAGUAGCGGUGAUAUGCGUAGAUACCGGGAGGAACACCAGAGGCGAAGGCGGCUUUCUAGGCUGAUCCUGACGCUGAGGAGCGAAAGCAUGGGGAGCGAACCGG